UCCUACAUGCUCCACUUACACACGCUCACACGCUAAACAACCAUCCGCAAAAAGGUUCAGUGGCAAGGCUUAGUCAAUGUGAGUGGGUCAGGGCUGGAGUGGCAGUCGUCUCGACGUCGACUCCCCCACUCCGACGCUUACCGUCGGCGCACCGACCCGUCACCCAUUUAAACCCAUCGCCUCCUUACGAACAACUCACUCUUACGUUCUUCUCUGAUCGCGCAUAGUGCAAUCCCCCAUCUCGAUUGUAACAGCAGCAUGUUCGGAGGUCUUGACCCCACUGGGCUAUACUGAGAAAAAGACGAUUUUAGUGCAAAUUUUCAGUUUUCAAUUUUUAUAAGUUAAAACUCAUUACCAUGGACGGAGGAAAACUCGAUCCUACCGGACAGUACUAGUGUGUGACAGUUUGCGCAAAUAAAGGACUUUAACGAUGACGAACACGGGAGGCAAGGGCCUAGAUCCCACUGGAUUAUACUGAUAUUAAGAUGUGGCCCCACUUAGGAAACGGCGGCCGUCAAACAUCAAGCUGCCGACGUAAACGACUAUGAUUAUGAUCCAAGUCAAACAGACUAACUAACAUCUCACACUGCCACACAAGUUACCGUUGAAUCUUUUGUCCACCCAACAAUUCUGGAUAUUUGAAGACUGAUGUUUGUUGUUUUUUUAUUAUUUUUAAGAUUGUUUUUUUAUUAAAUUAUAUGUAGGUUAAGUUCCUUGAGGGCUGCAUCCAAUAUAAUGCAUGUUUCUCCCAAUUUAAUGUAUAUAAAACAAAAUGUCCAAAUGUAUAUGUUUCCAUCCCGAGCUUUUUAUACUACUAUUUCUUUUUAAUUAAAUAUUUUUUUAU